GGAAGGGUGGCAGAGUGGUUUAAUGUACCGCCCUGGAAAGGCGGCGUAUCCAAUCGGGUACCGAGAGUUCGAAUCUCUCCCCUUCCGCCA
rnacentral:tRNA from 1 species